GGGGGGAUGGCCGAGCGGCCGAAGGCGGCGGUCUUGAAAACCGCCAGGGGCGCAAGUCCCUCCUGGGUUCGAAUCCCAGUCCCCCCG
rnacentral:tRNA from 1 species